AAAGUCGUAACAAGGUUUCCGUAGGUGAACCUGCGGAAGGAUCAUUAUCGAGUUAGGGUCGUUCUGGCCCGAACUUCCAACCCCUUGUUUAUCACACCAUGUUGCUUUGGUGGGCCCGCCCUCUCUUAGGGGCCGCUGGAGGUUAUUGCCUCUGGCCUGUGCCUGCCAGCAGCCUUAUUAAAAUUCUUUUUUUAACUGUGUCGUCUGAGUAACCUUUUAAAUUAUUAAAAACUUUCAACAACGGAUCUCUUGGUUCUG
rnacentral:misc_RNA from 1 species